rnacentral:rRNA from 1 species
UACAGAGGGUGCGAGCGUUAAUCGGAAUUACUGGGCGUAAAGCGCACGUAGGUGGCGACGUAAGUCGGGUGUGAAAGCCCCGGGCUCAACCUGGGAAUUGCAUUCGAGACUGCAUUGCUGGAGUACGGAAGAGGAGGGCGGAAUUCCCGGUGUAGCGGUGAAAUGCGUAGAUAUCGGGAGGAACAUCAGUGGCGAAGGCGGUCCUCUGUCCAGUACUGACACUCAAGUGCGAAAGCGUGGGGAGCAAACAGG